CGCGUAGGCGGCUUUAUAAGUCAGAUGUGAAAUUCCACGGCUUAACUGUGGAAGUGCAUUUGAAACUGUGAGGCUUGAGUAUCGGAGGGGAGUGUGGAAUUCCCGGUGUAGAGGUGAAAUUCGUAGAGAUCGGGAGGAACACCGGUGGCGAAGGCGACACUCUGGACGAAUACUGACGCCGAGGCGCGAAAGCGUGGGGAGCAAACG
rnacentral:rRNA from 1 species